CAACCCUCAAGCCCUCCUUCGGGACCGGGCCUGGUGUUGGGGCUCGGCCGCCAUCUCCGGCGGCCGUCCCCUAAAUACAGUGGCGGUCACGCCGCAACUCCCUUGCGUAGUAGAAACACCUCGCACCGGAUAGCGACGCGGUCCACGCCGUAAAACCCCCAAUUUUUAAU
rnacentral:misc_RNA from 1 species